rnacentral:rRNA from 1 species
GACGAACGCUGGCGGCGUGCUUAACACAUGCAAGUCGAACGGAAAGGCCCUGCUUUUGUGGGGUGCUCGAGUGGCGAACGGGUGAGUAACACGUGAGUAACCUGCCCUUGACUUUGGGAUAACUUCAGGAAACUGGGGCUAAUACCGGAUAGGAGCUGCUGCUGCAUGGUGGGGGUUGGAAAGUUUCGGCGGGUGGGGAUGGACGCGCGGCUGAUCAGCUUGUUGGUGGGGUAGUGGCUUACCAAGGCUUUGACGGGUAGCCGGCCUGUGAGGGUGACCGGCCACAUUGGGACUGAGAGAGGGACCAGACUCCUACGUGGGGCAGCAGGGGGGAAUCUUGCACAAUGGGCGGAAGCCUGUUGAAGCAACGUCGCGGGCGGGAUGACGGCCUUCGGGUUGUAAACCGCUUUCGCCUGUGACGAAGCGUGAGUGACGGUAAUGGGUAAAGAAGCACCGGCUAACUACGUG